GCCAGGCCUGGUGGCGCAUGCCUGUACUCCCAGAUACUUGGGAGGCUGAAGCAGGAGGAUCACUUGAGCCCAUGAGGUUGAGGCUGCAGUGAGCCAUGAUCAUGCCACUGCACCCCAGCCUGGGCAACAGAGUGAGACCCUGUCUCAA
ensembl:misc_RNA Metazoa_SRP Metazoan signal recognition particle RNA